UGGGCGUCUAAACUACUUAUUUAAAAAAAACUGUUUGGGCCCAAACCCAAGGGUCUAGGGGUGUGAAAAUGAAAAAAACGGGGGUGCAAACCUAUUUAGUUCCUAUAAGAGACUGGGCCAAGCCCAAGUGGACAGGGGUGCGAAACGGAAACAAAGGGGUGCAGAAAGGAUUUGUAUUUUUUGGUAAGGCUUGAGUCCGAAGAGAAAGGAGGGUGUGAAAUUAGAACAAAAGGGGGUGCACGGAGGAAAAGUAUUUUUUUUGUUUAUUAUUUUUUUUUAAAAUGGCAUAGGGACUCAGGCCCAAGACUCUUCAGCAGAAAAAAUAGGGGUCUUCAAGCUCUCCCUCUCAUCUCAGCGUUCACACUCCAAACCCCAGAGCUAGGGUUCCCUUGAGAAAAAGAAAACCAUGAAGGUUUCGCGUCCCCAACUCGCACGCGCCACCAUCAGCGGCUCCAGCCAAGCGGACCAGCCACCACGAGGGGUUGUCGACGGCGACACCAACGCCUUCGGCGGAAGAACCACCGCCGGUUGCGCCGGACCACCGUCUUGCACUUUCUUCUUCGCGCGAAACCAGCCCCAACUCCGAGAACCCAUCGUUCCCGCCGCCGUUGACGAAACCAAUGACCACAAGCCGCGAACCAAGGUCGCGCCGGUAACGCUGCUCGUCGCCGGCCGUCGGGUCUUCUCCCUUCCUUCUCCUUUUCCCGCACGAGAAAAGCUCUCUCUCGCUCCUUCGUCAAACACCGCCUGAGCGAUCCUGGCCACCAUGAAGCAGAGCACCUCCGUUCCACAGGUCGCGGCUAAGGUCGCCGCCGGACCUCACGUUGACGUCUUCCACCGCCAUGGCCAAAUCCACUUCCACCCAAAAUCGUCACUGCGCCAGCCACCUCUAGGAAUCCCACUGUUUAGCUAUCAGAGAAAACAGCCCCAAAGGCUUGCCGAGACAAUGCUUGGGGGUUUGCUUAUUUCCUGGAAAUGACUUUGGGGUUACUGACAUUUCCAUAAUGAAACUGAGAUUAUGAGUGGGUGAUGAUGUAUCUGCUUAGAUGUCUCUCUCGCAGGAAGAUGGUCACAGGGGUUUGCAUGGUAUAAGCGAAGAUUGAUGAAGGAUAAUGGGUGUUUUGUCUCUGUUUGCAGGUUUGUGGUAAGGCAUGUUUUUGUUGUUAUGAAGCACGAAUGACAAACAGUAUGUGGAAGCAAAUCAUGUAUAUCGUCAAACAGAAUGGAUAGGAAAAGAUGACCAAGAUAUGCAUACAACACUCAGAAUAUUCAAUGACAACCAUUCAUAAGCAUACAAAGGUAUUCUAACAGCUCAGGAAUAUUCCACAACAACCAUACAUAAGCGGUAGAGUAAAAAGGCAUUCUAACAGCGAUUGUGAAAUAAGUUUACUCGUUUACCGCUUGGAGCUUCCUUAGUACGGUUGCUGUGACAUGAUGAAUGAAGUUUGUGCUGAUGGGGAAGAAAGUAGACUACUAUAGUGGCCGAGUUUCUGUGCUAUUGCUAACUUCAUACCCCUGAUGAUCUCCUCUCUCCUCUUGGCCGGCUCCUCUUUUGUUUCUUUGUAGGUGAACGGAGGUUGCAGAUGUGCGAAGGAUGGCGUCUCAGCUUGAAAAAAAGGAAAAAAUUGGGUAGAGGAUUGUGCUUGUAUGCGUGAUGGGGGAACCGUUUCUGUUGAGUGAAUAGAGAGUGAAUCGGAGCUGAGAGUAGUGUGUGUGUGAGGGAGGAUGAUGUUGCUUCUGUUAGCCCCCAAGAACCCUCUUCUUCUCCCCCUCCAAGAUAUUGAAGCAAUUUGAUACCCACCAGACGCUCCUCCCUGUCGCACUGCCUCCAGGAAGAUCAGAGCAUAUCUCUUUCUUGGGAUUUCUUUUUUUGUCUUUUCUUUCUUUUUCUGCGUUUAGAUUGGAUCAAAUAACCAAAGCCGUUCAAAUUUCUUUUCCCGUAUGAUGUUUGAUUGCAGAAACUGUGUAAGAAAUUCACAGGCUUUUCCACGCUCCCAUUGUAUGGGAUAUGUUGAGUGUUUAACGAUACCUGAUGCACUGUUGCUUUGAGUUGCAGGAAAAAGCAUAGUUGACUCUUUUGUGA